rnacentral:lncRNA from 1 species
AAAUGAGCGGAAGAAAGGAAAAGAAAACAGAAGCCGAAAGAAAGGGAGGACAAGCAGAAAACAUGGAGCAGAAAACAUGGAAAAGUAAAGGUGAGGAAAACAUGGAAAAGUAAGAAAACAUGGAGCAGAAAACAUGGAAAAGUAAAGGUGAGGAAAACAUGGAAAAGUAAAGGUCACCAUACACCCAUGCUUUCUUCCAAUACUCCCCCUCAAGCUGGAUCAAAGGGAUUAAUUGAUCCAAGCUUGAACAAAAGACGUUGAAAAUCAGCAGAGGGUAAUCCUUUUGUGAAAAUAUCCGCAAGUUGAUCAUGACUGCGCGUGUAGUGAGUGUCGAUCACCUUGGACUGAACUUGAUUUCUGACGUAGUGACAAUCAACUUCAAUAUGUUUAGUUCGCUCAUGGAAUACAGGAUUCGAUGCAAUGUGCAUCGCGGCCUGAUUAUCACAGUGUAGGGACAUGAGUUGUUGAUGAGGAAAACCUAAAGUCAACAGAAGGCUUUUGAGCCAAAUAAGUUCACAAGCAGUGGACGCCAUAGCACGAUACUCUGCCUCUGCACUAGAGCGUGCAACAACACUUUGUUUCUUGCUUUUCCAGGUAACUAGGUUGCCUCCCACAAACGUACAAAACCCAGUGGUAGACUUGCGAUCGAUCGAGAGAAUUGCCUGCCCAGUCAGCAUCGGUAUAGCCUGAGAUCUGAGUGUGACUAUUGUUGCGCAUAAAGAAUUCCUCUACCAAUGGAACCCUUAAGAUAACGUAGCACACGAUGAACAAUCUUCAAAUGAUCCAUGCUUGGAGAGUGCAUAAACUGGCUAACAAUGCUGACAGCAUAUGAUAUAUCAGGACGUGUGAUAGUCAGAUAAAUGAGUUUGCCAACCAUUCUUUGAUAGUAACUUAAAUUGGGAACUGGAUCACCGUGAGUUUUUAGCUUCAAGUUGCUAUCCAAGGGGGUACGAGCAGGCUUGCAAUCUGUCAUUUUUUGCUUCGUGAAGAAGAUCCAUGACAUACUUGCGUUGGUUGAGGAAGAAACCCUUGUGAGAGUGUGCCAUCUCGAUGCCCAGAAAGUAUUUGAGAGUGCCAAGAUCCUUGAUAACAAACUUGUUGUUGAGAUACUGUUUAAGAGCAUUAAUCUCUGACAUAUUAUCACCUGUCAUAAUUAGAUCAUCAACAUAAAUGAGCACAACUAGUUUACCCACUAAGCUGGAACGAACAAAUAGGGAAGAAUCCGCAAUACUUCGACAAAAACCAACCCUUUCCAGAACAUGACUGAGCUUGGCAUACCAUGCACGUGGACUUUGCUUGAGACCAUAAAUGGAUUUAUGGAGUUUGCACACCAUUUCUGGAUUGUUUGAUUGAGGAUGACCUGGGGGUAGCUUCAUGUAAACCUCUUCUUCAAGUUCACCAUGCAGGAAAGUAUUUUUAACAUCCAUUUGAAAGAGAGGCCAUGCAUUGUUAAUUGCAACCGACAACAAUACUCUAACAGUGUUCAUUUUUGCCACCAGAGCAAAUGUCUCUUUAUAAUCGACGCCAUAGGUUUGUGUAAAACCUCGAGCAACCAAGCGAGCCUUAUUCCUUUCGAUUGUGCCAUCUGAAUGAAACUUAGUUUUGUACACCCAACGACUCCCCACUGCCUUCUUUCCUUUUGGAAGUUUCACUAUAGUCCAUGUGUUAUUUUCAUGGAGGGCUUGAAGCUCCUCUGCCAUAGCAUAGCAUUUCUCCACUCACUGUGAAGAUUGGCUUCUUGAAAACUUUGAGGUUCUCGAGCUUCAUUAAUGGCACUUAGGAAUGUAGCAAAAGAAGAUGAGACUUUGCUAUAAUCAAUAACAUCAGUCACGGGAUACCUGGCAGUGUAGGUCACAUAAUCAUGCAACUUGGAUGGAAGUUUCCUCUCUCGUGCAGGAUUGCGACGAACUGUAGGAGAUUGAACUACAGGUAUUUGAACAACAUCAUGGUUGGAAGGAUCACUGGAGGGUGCAGUGUGAAUCUCUGAUGAGGAAGGGUUUUCAUCUUCAAGAUGUUCCACCGAGUGAAGGUUAACAUCAUCCGGCACAUGAUCACUAGGAGUGCAUGUUGCAUCUUCUCCGUUUGGAUAUGGAAAAGGAAAUAAGUCCAUCAAAUGCUCAAAAUGCUCCCCCCUGUCUAGAGUAAUCCAGUGAUUGUGAGAAGUAAGGAACAUGUUCUUCAAAUUUAACAUCCCUUGAAACAACUAUUUUUCUAGUUGUUGAAUUAUAGCACUUGUAACCUUUUUGGGUAGAUGAAUAACCUAGAAAGACACAUUUGGCAGCCCUUGGGUCUAGCUUGUCACGAUUUUGAGUUUGAAUGUGAACAAAGCAUGUACACCCAAAGACUCUCAAAUGGGAAAAGUUGAUCUUUCUAUUUUUCAAGACCUCAUAAGGUGAUUUAAAAUUCAACACUUUACUAGGCAAUCUAUUGAUGAGAUAUGCCGCAGUAAGAACUCCUUGAGACCAAAACUUUUUAGGCACAUUCAUGUGAAACAUAAGAGCUCUAGUCUUCUCAAGUAGAUCUCUAUUCUUCCUCUCGACCACCCCAUUUUGUUGAGGUGUUCCAACACAGCUUGUUUGGUGUAAUAUACCAUGCGUGCUCAAGUAGUGUGACAUGUUAUGAGACAUAUAUUCUGUGCCGUUAUCUGAUCGUAAAAUAUGAAUUUUUGAAGCAAAUUGGGUGGCCACAAGUCUAUGAAAAUCUUGAAAAACUUCCAUCACUUCACUUUUAAAUUUCAAAAGAUACAACCAAGUAAUCCUUGUGAAAUCAUCCACAAAAGUUACAAAAUAUUUGUAUCCAUCAAAAGACUCUAUAGUUGGUCCCCAAACAUCAGAAUGCACAAUUUCAAAAGGGUUACUAGCCCUAGACAAAGAGGAAGUAAAUGGUAAUCUAGUAAACUUAGAAAAAUGACAAACAUCACAAGGACUUGUAACUUUGCACAUAUUUGGGAACAAGGUGGAUAGAACUUUUUCAGAAGGAUGUGCUAGGCGUUGGUGCCAAAGUUGUUGUUCUUGAGCUAAGCUUGAAGUGACUUGAAAAACCUUGGGAACUUGAAUAUGCUUGGAAAGAUAGUAGAGACCAUUUAAGAAAAAUCCUUCACCAAUCAUCUUCUUGGUGACUACAUCCUGAAAGAUCACAUUUUUGGGAGAGAAAAUGGCAAGACAAUUUAAUGAGUUUGUGAUCUUGCUAACAGAUAAAAGUUGAAAAGGGAAUGA